GCAACAAUAGCUCUAACGGUAGAGGCAGGAUCCUGUUAAUCCUGAGGUGUGCGGUUCGAUCCCCACUUGUUGCGA
rnacentral:tRNA from 1 species